GCCGGUAGUGCAACGGCUUAGCACGCUCUGCCAGAAAGAGUGAAAUGUGGGUUCGAAUCCCAGCUGACGCG